rnacentral:lncRNA from 1 species
CCAGCUUAAAACCUACCGGUACCACCCAAAUCACUAAGAAAAGACAAAAAAAUUGGCCAUGCUCCAUAAGAGAUGAAAGAGGCAGCCGAAAAACUCCCACUUCUAGGCCUACUGCUGUCUCCAACUUUUACCAAAAUCAAAGACCCUCAUCUUCACGCAACUCUCAUUCCUCUAUACACACUCCCUUUCUUUCACCUUCAUUGACAGAACACACACACACGCCUAAGCAGCUAAAGUUUAAAGAGUUCAGAUCCGAAAUUCAAGAUUGUUUCAAGUCUGGAAGAUCAAUUUAAGCUCAAAUCCUUGUUUGAUUCUACUGUAUGUUGCUGAAUCUGCAGACUGUUGUGUUCGGCUGAGCUCCAUUCCUUUACCUUUGCCUUGAUUUGGUUGUUUCCCGUCUUUUGCACGCUUAGGUACACAUCGGCGAACUUGUAUUAUUAUUAUUUUUUUGAAUUCUAGCAUGUUUAAAUUUCUAUGCACUUUUAUGAAAUCCAGAUCUGUUUUUGUUUUAUCUUACAUGAUGGUAAUCUUUUUGAUAAAAUGUUUGAUUAUGAUAACCCAUUAGUAUGUAAGUUAGAUUGUGAAAUUUUCUUAAAUUUGUCCACUUAUGUGUCCAUUGAAUGCUCCUGCUUUUUAAUUAGAGCUUUAAAGGGGUAACGAUUCUCUUGAGAUUGAGGUACACAGUACAUUAUAGUCAAUGAAAUUAUGAGUUUAUGUUCAAGAUGCCAAGGCACUUAUGACGUUGUUUCAUCAAGGUUUUCUUUAGCAUAAUGAUUUUAUAGAAUUUUCUUAAAAGUUGGUAUAUGUUUUUUUAUUUUUAUUUUGGUGAGUUUUGUUUUCUACUCAUUUCUCCCUUACCAUAGCUUAUUUAGUUUAAAAUCACAAUUCAAAAGUACAAUGUUAUAUUUGAGAUUUGAAAGAAAAGAUUGAAGUUGGAUUUGUGCUUGGUUAGUAAUGAAAAGGAAUUCCCGUGGUCCAAUAUAUUCCGACUGUUAUCCUUUGCUUAAUUGCAUAAAGAAUUGAUCUAAAAUUGUAAACUUUUUGAAAUGAGCAGUGUACUUAUUUGGCACAAGUUUUUUCUUGCUUUGCAUUGUAGUUUCGUCCAUAUUCACUUCUGAAAUCAUUUGAAUUAGCUAAAUGCGUUUUUGCAAGUUUCGUGUAGUAACAACAUCAAGGGAAGUGACAUAAUGACCUUUUAAAGAUGUUUACGUCCUAAAUGAAUCAUAUAUAUCCUUGCUCACUUCGUUCAUUUCUUCGCUGUAAGUUAAUAAUGCUAUACACGUGUACACGUUCGCGCGACAUGGUUAUGAUCCUAACAAAUAAAUUGAGGUAUGCGUUCGCGCAACUUCGACCACACUUUCUUAAUAUUUAAUAAAGCGUGAUGAAUUGUUAAAAUAAAAACGCAGCUCCCUUUUGUUAAAAUAAGUGAGGUGUGCCAUGCCAAACAAAAUUUAUAAUUCAUGGCCCUUGUAAGAUUAGAUUAAGAACUAACACUUAUAGAAAAUAUUUGAGGUGUGCCAUAAAUAAAUUAAACCAUCCAUGACCCUCACAAAUGUUGCUUCUUAAAAAUUGAAAUCGUAGUUUGCUUUAGGCUCGAUUUAGACUAGUAUUGUGAUUAUGUAUACGUUCGCGUAACAUAAUUGCGAAUUUAAUUCUAAUAAUAACUCGAGGGAUGCGUUCGCGUAACUUCAACCGAACUAUCUUCAUAAAAUAAACAAAGCGUUACUAAUUGUGGACACGUUCGCGUGACAUGAUUUUGACGCGCUAAGGGAAAAGAGUUUACGUACGCGUUACUUAAUUCUUUAAUUACGAACAAAUCAAGUGAUUAAAAGCACUAACAAAGAUAAAUGCACAUAGGUCCUAAAAAUAAGUAGUUAAACAAUUUAAGCCAAGUAAUAAUCACUAAGCGAUCAUGCUAGAACCACGGAACCCGGGAAUGCCUAACACCUUCUCCCGGGUUAAUAGAAUUCCUUAUCAUGAAUUUCUGGUUCGCAGACGUUUAAGAGAAAGUCAAAACUUUCUCGAUUUGGGAUUUAAAAUAAACUGGUGACUUGGGACACCAAAUCAGCUAUUCCAAGUGGCGACUCCGAUAAAUUAAAUAAUCGCAUUUCGAAUAAUGUCACUUUAAUUGGAAAAACUCUCAUAUACCCUCGGGGUGUAAAAAAGGAGGUGUAACAACACCCUGAUGUCGGGCUUUCUUUCCGCGCUGUUGUUUUGAUUUAAAAUCCUUAUGUAGGUUUAUUGUUAAAUAGCUUUGGUUUUAUCUUAAAAAUGAAAAUAUUGAUUGGUUUUGGUAGUGUGUCGGCUUGCCUAGUACCACGUUAGGUGCCAUCAUGACAGGGUUAGUUUUAGGUCGUGACACACUGCCCAAAAGAACUCUUCAUUUAUGCGGAAAAACCAUCGCGUUCACGAUGAAGAAAAUGAAUUGCCACCAAAAUGCCUUACGCGUUCGCGAAGUUACCCACGCGAGCGCGAUGCGCAAAAAUGCCACACAACGUGAAAACAUCCCACGACUCGCGGAUGCGAAGAAGAGUGCUCCAGCUCCUAUCUCACCAUCAUGAACCCGAUUACACAAACGCAAACGUGAAGUUCAAGUCCCACAUGCACUACGAACAUGACUCAAUACUCGCGAACACGAAGAGAUAAAAUAGGCCAGUCCAAAUCCUUGUUCGCGAUCGCGAUGACUCCGACGCGAACGCGAUUCACUACUGUUGAUACCUAAUUUUCCCUCAUAUAUUUCUAAAAAUGCAUAUAUACUCUCAAAAUAUUGCAUGAGCAUCAGCCAAUAUUUUUCCAUAUUUUUUUGUAUUUUUAAAAGGAUUUUAAUUAGUUUAUUCCAACAUUUUAUUAUCUAAAUAAUUACUAAUUGCAUCACAAAGAAUUUUAUAAUGGUUUAUUACUUGAUUUGUAUCAUUUAUAUUAAGCUUUAAUCAUUUUCUGCAUAAUUAUAUUUGUAUCUUUAGGCUAUAAUUGCAAUAACUUUGCAAUAAUAGCCCGUAUAUGCAUAAUUACAUUAUUUACACGAAAAAUGACUUUUUAUAUUUUUAUAAUAUUAAGUAAUUAUUUUAAAUCAUUUUCAUAUAUAAAUAGCAUUUUUAUCAAUUAUAAAUUAUUUUAUUAAUUUAAGUGGGUAUUUAAAACAUAACCCUUUUUAGUUAAAUUUCGGUCCUCCCAGCCCAAUACUAGCCAGCCCAAUUAUCCUAACCUAUAACGCAAUACCCAAACCCAAGUACCCAUACCCGCCCUGCCUAAACCUAAUCUUGGCCGUUGAUCUCAGAAGAUCAACGACCCUAAAUUCCCCAACCCCUUAUAAUAUAUCAAAAACCCCCCAAACCCUAUCUCAUUUCUCCCAACCCGCCGCCUCUGGAUCCCUUCUCUCAUCUCUUCUCUCUCUCUCACCCCCUCUAACCCUAGCCCGCCGUCAGUGAUAUCCCCCUUGAUUCAUGGGGUUUUCCUCUGAUUUCAUGCCUUAUCUGGUCUCACCUCUCUACUGGUUAUAUAAUUUUUAUGUUGCUUGAUGUGAAUCUCAAGAGACUCGAACCAAAUCUAGUUCAAAGUCUCUCAUUUCUCGAUUAUUCCGUCUAUGUUCACUCCGAUACUUGUGAGUACGAGUAUUUUCGUAUUCUAGGGGUCUCAAAUCUCCGGUUCAAACUAGAUUUGAGUCGCUUCUGUCUAUUUUCAUGAACCUAGCGAUUUUCUGGUUGAAUCCGUUUAGAUCUCUUUAGAUCUGAAGCAAUUUUGCGUUUGUUUGGUAUUUCUCUCUUAAAAUUUUCUAUUUUUACUAUUAUUAUUGACCGAUUUCAUUUACCCUAAAAGCUAAUGUUUUGAUUUCCGUUGGAUUUAUGCAAAAAUGGGUUUUAGCGUUUAAAUGUUUUCAUCUCUGAUUUUCUUAUUUACUUUUUCGAGUGAUUUUUACUUGAUUUAAUUAAGCUCCAUCUAUAUGUCUUUGUAUUUCUUAGGGUUCCGAUUAUUUGACUAUUUAUUCUACUGUCUUUUGCCCGUUUACCUUUAAUUCUGUCAAUUAAGUGUUAAUUGAUUUACUUAUCUAAAUUAGGGUUUGAAUUCAGUACUCGCAUUUCCUUAUUAAGAUUUUAACUGUUCUUACCUUAUUUAUGUGAUUUAUUAUCCGUACUAUUGGCUUGAUUUUGUGUUUUGACUCCUAAUUGAUUUUUGAAUUAGUUCUUACCUUAUUUAACCUUAUUCUUAAUUAUUGAUUGAUUUCAUAUGAGAUUUUCCUUAAAUUAAGUGAUACUUACUCGAUUUUGUCCUGUUAAUUGAUUCAUGUUGACCUUAAUUGAUUGUUAAUUGAUUUAUCAUACCUUGUUUGUGUGUGAUUGGUUCGCUACCUUAUUUGUUUUACUCUACUGCAUGCUAUAAAAGCCACUCCCUUGUCCUAAUCUUACACAGACACACUGAGACACUUACACACUUUACAACUUAAAACUCUCAAGCUUUCUGUUCUCUGAAAAAACUGAGUUCUCUCUUCCGGUUAUUCUAAUUUACUGCACUGUCUGGCCGGCUAAAGCCAAGGCUAGAUAAUCUGGAUUUAAAUUGCCAUUUCAUUCCGGUUUACUUCUUUCUCAACUGGUAUGCUUUAAUCGUUGUUAUCCUAUUAUGUUCUAUGUGUUUAUUUAGUUAGUUUAUUUCAAAACCUCAACAUGAUUCUGUUUGCUAUAUGACUGUAUGAUUCCACCUAGUGAUAAUACUAAACUAAGUUAUCUCCAAUAAUGUGAAGCCCUAUCCAAUUCAGCUGUAUGUUCCAUGAUCUGACUAUUGUUAGGUACUACAGGCAUGUAAUAUGUGGCUAAUUCUGUUUGUUAGUUCAAGUGUCCUUGCUUUCUAUGAUUACUUUGAAUGCUGGUAUGAACAUCUAAUCUGAACAAAUAUCAACUUAUUUGAAUUAUAUGUUGAACAUAAGUUUUUUUUGUUCUUUGAUGCAGUUUUGUUACUAUUUUGUAUGUACUAAUUUCUAAACAUAUUUCCCCUUACCCUCUAUGUACUGGUUUUCAAAAUUCUACUCUUAGUCCUUUAGGUUCCUACCACCCUCAGUGUGACCACUGCCUAGGGUCCUUGAGACUUCUCUGAACUCUAACACAUUGGGGCUGGUCUUCCAAUCUUUUAUGAACUGUUUCUUUGAGUGUGGUCCUGGCGUGAGCAUUGCCCGGGGUCCCUGAGGUCCUUGGAAACUUUCACACACCAGGAGCCCAAUUUUAUGUGCUAUGGAUGUACUAUCAUUAUGCUUCAAAGUUUCUAUGUUUGAAGGCCUGGUUCCCAAGUUCAUAUUGGGCCUAUGAAGGCUCCCUAUAGUGUAAUGGAUACUGUUAUAUAAUUUAUUCAUUUUGGGCUGUAAUAAUCUCUGUAAUAAAUAGAUUUGGGUUUAUUAGUGAAAGCUGGGGGGGGGGGGGGGUUCUAUAUCUUUAUUUAAAACUGGGUAGAAAUCCUGCAUAUAGGGUUUAAUUACGUUGAUUGAAUCAUGCGAAUGCCAUACUUAUUUAGAGAUCCUGCCUAUUUUCUAGUUGUUUGUGACUCUGUAUUUUUACAUUUUUUGGCAUACUAGAGAUACUGCUUAUAGGCUUUCUGUUAGUUCUGCAUUAGAAAUCUUGUUCAUAGGAUAUACACAUAUUUCAGCCCAACGUGCAUUAAUGAUCAUGCAUAUAGGAUUCAAUUUGUGUGAAUUAACAAACUUUUCUCGCAAUGUGCUUAAAAUUCUUCCCACAUAUGAUUAAUAGAUAUCAUGCCUAUAGGAGAUAAAUCAGUUUCAACUUAGAUACCAUGCCUAUAGGAAUAAAACAAAUCAGUUUCAAAACCUAGAAAUCAUGUCUAUAGGAUUUAAACUAACAGAUAUCAUGCCUAUAUGAGACAAAAAUCAGUUUCAACUUAGAGAUUCUACCUAUAUGGUUUAAAUUAAAUCUACAACUUAGAAAACAUGCCUAUAGGAUUCUAAAGAGAUAAAACCCGUCUUUACUAAUUAAAAUAAGUAAUUCACUUAGAAAUCCUGUUAUAGGUCUAUAAUUAACAGUUGUAGAUACCAUGCCUAUACAAUUCUGUUAAUCACUUAGGGAAAUUUGUAGAGUUAUUAAUGAUUCUGGGGUUUAAAACACUGAUGUCUUACUGCCUGAAAAUGCCCAGAUUCAAAGCUUAAUAAAAUCAGUAGGCAAACCAGUAGGUUCUGAUGCCGCCUUAAUAAAACUGCUGUCUUGCAUUUUGUUUCUGCUUAUCUGGAUAUCCUGCUUAUAAGAUCCUAAAUUAACAAAAUCUAUUGAUUUAAAUGGGUGCACUUGUUGUCUACUUGUGGAGGUUAAUAUGAGCCCUUAUUUGCUCCUUACAUGAUAGUCCUAUUUGAAUUUUGUUUGUCGCCUAGCUUUUCUUAUUUUAAGCAACAUAGGGCAGUGUACAACCAUCCUAAAUAGAGGUCCUAAAUACCUUCAAGACCCUAGCUAAGGGACGGGUAGUGCACUCACAAGGUACGAUUUAGAUUCAAUUAGUGCGCUUAAGUAACAACUUGAAGAUAAUAAAUGGAUUGUAAAGGAAAUUAUAGCCCAUGCGUUAAUGCUAUGAGUAAAACCUCAACUUAAGGGAGUUGCAAAACAUUGCAUGGAAUGAUCCUAUUGGCUAAAAACUUAGGACCACCCCCUAUACUCAUGUGUAAAAGUAAGUUGAAUAUGGUAUCUGCCCAAUUUGUUUUCUUCCCUUUUAAGACUAAUUCGCUUAUUAAGUUCGGCCGGGACCCACCGUUGUGGACCUCAAGGGGUGCCUAACACCUUUCCCUCAAGGUAAUUUCGAGCCCUUACCUGAUCUCUAGAAAUGCAAAUUAGUUUCAUGAGUUAACUGCUCUAGGUGUUCUAACACACCUUAAUCUGUUAGGUGGCGACCCUUCAAAUCCUUUACCCCAUCCCAAAAGGAAAGGAGUUGUCCCAACAAUGUCGAAACCCAAUUUUGCAAGAAAAAGGGGGCGUGACAGCAUGACGACUCUACUGGGGAUAUCUUUAGGCUCUUACCAUAACGAACUUGUCUGUGAAUUAGUCUUUUAGCUUGUCUUUAAUACUCGCACACCCCUUCCCAUUCUAUGUGAAUUUAUUUGUCUAUUCUUAUUCAUUUAUGAUCUCUCCCCCACUGCUUUAUUGCUUUUACUAUGGAAAUUGACUUAUCUCCUUGUUUUUCUUUUCUUAAAUGUCUUUACAAUUAUUAAAUAUCGCAUUUUAUCAUUAUUCAUUAUGCAAAUACUUGACAAUGUGUUAUUUUCUUUUGCAUAGCUCUAUGCUCAACAUCAUAUUCCACUCGUGCGUACUAAUACCAGCGACACUUGAUGAGUGUCUGAGCUCUUCCUAAAAUCACCCUUUAAAUUCGAAAAUGCUUAUUUGCGGUAAAACUAGUCGAUCAGUGGUGGAGUCAACGGUUCUGUGACUUUCCUCCCCAAGUUGUCCGCUUGAGGGUACCAGUCUAGACUUCUAAAGUAACCUUGCUUUGAUAAAUAACUGUACAUGCAUCAUGGUCAAACCUAUCUGGGGUUAAUAUAUUGUCCACAUAAUAAUCCUCUAAGAAAGCCUUGUCCAAAGUCCACAAGGAUUUCCAUAAUCCCAAUGGAUGCAAUCACAAUCUGUGCAUUAUUUGGAGAGAUAAAUGCCGACAUGCUAAUCGUUAAUGUGUAGUUAGUCGAAUACGGAGGGGGCAAGGGUCUAACUCUGUUUGUUUUGCAGAAAAUGAGGCACGAAGUCUCCAAGUUCGGCAUGGUCCGAAGUAUACCACCAUUGUUGCUAGACUUGUGGGAAAAUCUUUCACCAAGCUGUAAAAACCACGUGAAAAGGAUUCUUGGAAAUCUACCUACCUUAUUGGACAUUCAACCAAACAACAUGCUGAUCAAAGCUGCUACUAUAUUCCGGGAUGGAGAAAGAGCUGUAUUCUAUUUUGGUGACAUAGAAAUGACUUCUCUUCUAGAGGAAAUCAGAGGGUUCACUGGAUUACCAUUGGAUAGUCCCGGUUUACUAGUACUAGAAAAACACAAUACUAAGGGGUUUCUAAAAUGAUGGGCCUGAGAAAGAAUGAGGACUUGGAGUGCUUGAAGAAGUCUUACAUACCCUUUGACUUCCUCUAUGAACGAUACAGACACAUCAAAUCUUACCGUAUCUUUCAUGAUGAAUUCUCCAUCACUUCCCUAAGUUGCACUUAUCGCAGGGUUUUUGUAUCCAUCAUCUACUUUCUGGGUAUAAUAGUGUUCCCAAGCCAAAGGGACAGAGUUCACACCAGGUUGGCCAUGGUAACCAGAGCUUUGAUGGAGGGAAUUGAGGGACAAACCUAUGCUAUUGUCCCGAUGAUUGUAGCAGAUAUAUACCGGGCUCUGGAUCGUUGCAAGAAGGGGUUCAAACACUUUGAGGGUUGUAACUUGCUACUACAGAUUUGGUUGUUAGAACAUCUUCAGAGGGGUUGUACCGCUAAGAAUUUCCACAAAGACCAUGGAACAAUCACAUCGCUUUCCACCAUCCUAAAAGAAUGACCUUAUCCCAGACAGAUUUGCACAACCAAAGAACCUACAGAAUGGGCACAGUUUUUCAACAAUUUGACCGAGGACCAGGUUCGCUGGAUGUUCGGGUGGUUUCCUACCGAUGAAUUCAUCAUUAGAUCCAGGGAUGUUCCGCACUUGGUGUUGAUUGGGUUAAGGGGAAUACAUCCCUAUAUUCCUAUUAGGGUUAUGAGACAAGUUGGUAGAAAACAAGUCAUACCACGAAUCUCCAAAAUAAUCCAUUACAGAGCCGAUUUUCAGGAUGACGCCAUUCCGUACAAAUAUGAGGCCCAGCACAUAUGGCAUUUGAAGGUUAUCGUGGAAAAGGAUACCAUCGAGCCAGAUCGAUAUCACACAGGUCAUGUGUACUUCUACCCAUCAUGGUUAGAAGAUAACAUGACAGGAAUAUUCGAGCCAAGGGUUGGUCAGUGAAACAAGGUCAUAGAUGAAGUCGCUGAAGCACAAGUGAAGUAUGAGAGGCUAUGCAAGAAGGUCCUUGAAUCCGAAGCCAAGCAUCUGGAGCAACACAAGUUCGACAUGGAAUCAAUCAACAAGUGGAAAGAAAUGGCUACAAGGUCGGCGGAAAGGUUGGAGUACUUGGAGCAGGGCCUAAUGGAACUGGAAGGAAAGAUGAGAAAAAGGGUCGUAGAUUGUCAGAAUGCAGAAAGCAACGAAGGAGGACAUAUAGCAAGGAAAUACCUGGUGAUGGACAUGCACGACUUGGGAAUCUGAUUGAUGGAGCCAAGAGGGCCAAAUAUGGGGAAGGUCCCUCCUAGACCAAGUAGAUUAGGUUUAUUUGUUUUGAGUCAUUUUGAAUUCAAAUGUAAUAAGGCAGAUGCCAUUAGUAACUCGUUUAUUUAUCAUCGUUUUUAGGUUUGUCUUAUUUAUUACAUUAAUGAAAUGAGGCAUUUAUCAGCAUUAAAUCUCUCCAAAUCUACUUGUCGCUAGGCCUACCUCGGGCACAAUGAGGUUCCCCAAACUAGGACGCGAAUUUACAUUUCCGCAAUAUGUGUUUAAAUCAUACAAAUGUUUUUUAUCAUCCUUACUGACUUGUCUACCUUUUGUUUUUUUUGUUUAUUUCGAUUAUUCCCAUCCCCAAGGCUGGUUCGCACAUACUGGCAUCGUCAACAUAUCACACCAGAUCUAGAGACCCUCCACCUCUUCCUCCUCCAAGUAAUCCGAAAAGCAAAGUAAAAGCUAAGAUGGAUGAUCAGAGUGGUAUCCGAAAAGAAAAUAUUGAUAAUAUUGAAACUUCAGACGGUCGAAGUACUCCAGCCUAGACUGAUUUGGUCCUACGAUUGGAACAGAAAAUACUGGAGUUGCAAGUAGAACUUGAGCAGGUCCGCAACUUGGCAAACCUCUCCCUCACCCUAAACGUCCCAGACGUUAACUAAUAAAAUGCUCAAAACCCAAAACCUCCUCAAAACACACCAAACCAACGUUCGCAAAAUCCUCCCGCACCCCAUCUAUACACAAUACCUCCCUAAAAUCCUAACCCUCCACCGAUACCCACUCCUCCUCAACACCAACAUCCUCCUACUCAAUACCCACAAACCACUUACCAUACUCCUCAAAAUACCCGCAACCUAUCCCCAAUCCGCAAAACACAACUAACGAUCACCACUACACUCCAACCCUUUGCACCCACCAAAAAAAUUCCAUAUACAUAGAAAUCUUACCUCACUCUGCUCAACCAACAUCAUACGCUUUAGAAUUUUUCGAGAAAGACCUACUCAUAAAAAACAUGGCCGAAGAGCUCAAGAAGCUCACGACCCGAGUCCAGGGUGUCGAAGGAGGCAAAGGAAUUAAAGGUCUGAAUUAUAAGGAUCUGUGCAUUCAGCCAGACGUGGAACUACCGGAGGGUUACAAACCUCCUAAGUUCGAAAUUUUCGACAGAAUUGGUGACCCAAAGGUACACUUGAGAACAUAUUGUGAUAAACUCGUGGAAGUUGGGAAAAAUGAAAGAAUUCGCAUGAAGCUAUUCAUGAGGAGUCUCACUGGAGAUGCCCUAUUUUGGUAUAUCAGUCAAAAUCCCAAGAAGUGGGUUAAUUGGGUAACCAUGGCAUCAGACUUCAUGGAUCGAUUCAGGUUUAACACAGAGAAUGCGCCGAAUGUCUUCUACAUACACAAUCUAAAUAAGAAACCAACGGAGACUUUUCGUGAGUAUGCUACUUGAUGGAGGUCAGAAGCUGCAAAAGUCAGGCCGACAUUAAAGGAAGAGCAGAUGAACAAAUUCUUCAUCAGGGCCUAGGAUCCACAAAACAAUGAAAGGUUAAUGGUAAUUGAAAAUCACAAGUUCUACGACAUCAUCAAGUUCAGGGAAAGAAUUGAAGAAGGGAUCAAGAGUGGGAUGGUAACCAAUUUUGAGGCAAUGUAGGCCACGAACAAAGCAUUGCAGUCAGGGGGUAUAUCAAAGAAGAAAGAAGUAGGGGCAGUAAUGGUGGCCCAAGGUCCAAAAUCUCCACUCACAUACCAAACACCUCCACUACAUACCAACCCUCACCCCCAGAUAUUCUCAACCCGCUACCUCCUACCACACUUAUAACACCCAACCAGCCUAUUACCAUUAACCUCCAACCGUCAAAACUGUCAAAAACCCAGACCCAAUUUUGAUCGUAGGCUGCCCAGACAAUACACCCCUAUUGCUGAACCCAUUGACCAACUAUAUGAUAGAUUGAAGUCUACCGGAUAUGUCACCCCCAUUCCUGUUGUUGCAAUGAAAAACUCCUCCUAAUGGGUCAACCCGAACAAAACCUGUGCAUACCAUUCUGGCAUGAAAGAGCAUACUAUCGAUGAAUGCCGCACUCUAAAAGAAAAGAUUCAAACCUUGAUUGAUACCAAAGUCAUACAAGCAAAGGAAGCCGUGCCAAAUGUUCCUAAUAAUCCCCUCACAGAUCAUAGGGGUGACGGAGUAAAUGUGAUAGAAACUGAUGAAGAAUGGGAUCCUGAGGGGUCAAUUGGGCUUAUUCGGGAAUGUGAUGACCCUAAAACAUGUAGUCACACUCACUCCUAUUGUAGUACAGAUACAACCGCCAACCAAAGUUGAAGUAGCCGCAUCAGUCCCGUUUGAAAUUGAAGUAACAACACCUGCAACUACACCAACUCCAUUUGAAGUAGAAGUAUCCACACCCUUCACUGUGAUAGUAGCACCUACACCUCCUUUCAAGUCCAACGCCAUACCUUGAGAUUAUGAUGGAAGAAUCUGGUGCCACACAAGGGAUGACCAGAACUGGAAGGAUCUAUACACCCGAAAAUUUGGAAGGAACAAGCAAGGAAGCUGCUACCAAACAACCCAUCAUUGAAACUGGUCCAGACGAACUUUGGAGGAAAGUACAAGCUAGAGAAUACUCUGUUGUUGAUCAUUUGAACAAGACUCCCGCCAGAUAUCCAUCCUGUCGCUAUCGCAAAAUUCUAAGGCGCAUAAGAGUGCUCUGAUGAAGGUGUUGAAUGAAGCUUAUGUACCCAACAAUAUCACCAAUGGAGAUAUGGUCAACAUGGUAGGGCAAGUACUGGAGAGUCACUAGAUCACCUUCCACGAAGAUGAAUUACUGCCUGAAGGAUUAAGUCACAAUAGGGAACUGCAUAUCAUAGUACAAUUUGAGGUAAAAUUCAUCUCCGGAGUCUUAAUAGAUGGGGUUUUAAGCCUCAACAUUUGUCCAUUGACUACUCUGAAAAGUUUGGGCAAAGAUUUCCAUGAGAUACGAGCAGGGAUUAUGAACGUGAAGGCAUUUGAUGGGUCUCAAAGGGCCACGAUUGGGGAGAUUAACCUUUGUCUACAUAUGGGGCGAUCUGGUUCGAUGUUGAGUUCCAAGUACUAGACAUAUCUGCUACAUAGAAUCUUCUAUUGGGUCGACCUAGGAUAUAUGCCGCUGGGGCUUUGGCUUCCACACUACACCAAGCUGUAAAGUUCGAAUGGAACCAUCAAGAGGUAAUCAUUCACAGAGAUAGAAGUAACCCCAUUUACUCCAGUCAAACUGUCCCGAUUGUUGAGAAUAGAAGAAGGCUAGGUGGAGAAACUUAUCAUCGUAUUGAGCGGGUCAACGCGAUUGAGAAAGAUAAUUGGUGAGUAACAAAAUAGAAUGCAUACUGGCAUGGUCUGGGUAUGAACCCGACAAAGGACUCGGGAGGAAACUCUAGGGCAUUACCAAACCGAUACAAUUGAAGCAUCACAACACAACUUUUGGCAUGGGAUAUCCGUACACCUGGAAAGAAGAUAAUAAUUGGUCACCACCAUGGCAUUGUCCUUAUUUCCUUAUCGAGCAGCCAGUGCCACAUCUGAGUUAGACUUUUCACCGGGCCGAUACAAUAUGGGGAUCUACAGAGGAGGAAACUUUGGCUGGGUUGAGGAACUUGUUUCUAGAAGACGAGAAUAUGGAUUGCAAUGUGAUUGUUAAGGAUGAGGAGGAAGAAGGCCUCGCCAUUUAGACCGUGGAGAAGGGAGUUGUUCUCAAGAAUUGGACUGUCGCACCAUGCCAGGCCCGUCAAGUUCCUGGGUAGCUUGGCAAUUAGCCUGACUUGUUUAAAUAGCCAUUCUUGGCAUUUAAGAUAUUUUGAGUAUUUUAUUUUAAAAGACGCAGUUUUGUUUCGAAAUAAUUGCUUGAGUCAUCGAGUCGUACCUGUUUUGGAUAUUUUCAAAAUUUAAUGCAUUGUUAUUUAGUAUUUAUUAUUAUCUUUUAUAUUUUUUCUUCUACAACAUUAUUAUUACUUUUCCUGAUAAACUGAUGAUUGUGACAUGUAAUGAGACAACGCAAUAUAAGGAUAGUGACUCAGAAGAAGAUGAUGAAAUACCUAAGCAAGUUGAGAAUUUUGAGAACAAACCUAAGUCCAAUCUUGACGAAAUCAAAAUCAAUUUGGGAGAUUCCGAAACCGUCAAAAAAACUCACAUAAGCAUUCACCUAUCACCGUCUGAAAAGGAAGAAUAUGCUUUUUUCCUUAAAGAAUAUGAGGAUAUUUUUGCAUGGUCAUAUGAUGACAUGACCGGCUUGAGCACAUCCAUAGUAGCUCAUAAAUUUCCCACUAAUCCAAUGUGUCCACCGGUAAAGCAGAAACUCAGAAAGUACAAACCAGAUAUGAGCCUAAAAAACAAGGAAGAAGUCACUAAGAAGAUCAAAUCCAAAGUCCUUAGGGUAGUUGAGUACCCAAGUUGGUUAGCCAACAUCGCACCGAUUCCGAAGAAAGAUGGGAAAGCGAGGGUAUGUGUCGACUAUCGGGAUUUAAAUAGAGCAAGUCCCAAGGACGAUUUCCCACUACCAAAUAUACACAUUCUGAUUGACAAUUGCGCCAAACAUGAACUCCAAUCCUUUGUAGAUGCUUCGCGGGUUAUCAUCAGAUUUGGAUGGACGAAGAAAAUGCAUAGAAAACAGCCUUCAUUACACCAUGGGGAGUGUACUGCUACAAAAUGAUGUCAUUCGGUCUAAAGAAUGCUUGGGCUACCUACAUGAGAGCCAUGGCUACCAUCUUCCAUGAUAUGAUACCCAAAGAAAUAGAGGUGUAUGUUGAUGACAUCAUCAUCAAAUCCAAGAGGGCCACAUAUCACAUAGCAGACUUGAGGAAGUUCUUUGACAGGCUAUGAAGAUACAAUUUAAAACUGAACCCCGCAAAAUAUGCAUUUGGGGUUCCUACAGGAAAAUUAUUGGGAUUCAUCGUCAGCCGCUGAGGAAUCGAGUUGGACCCAUCCAAAGUUAAGGCUAUCCAAGAGUUACCACCACUAAAGAGCAAAAAAGACGUGAUGAGUUUCCUGGGACGUCACAACUACAUCAGCCGCUUCAUAGCACAGUCCACAGUAAUAUGUGACCCCAUCUUCAAAAUGUUGAGGAAGGAUGCUAAAACCAGUUGGACUGAAGAUUAUCAAAGGGAUUGGAUAAAAUUAAGGAAUACCUGUCCACACCACUGGUCCAAGUCCCACCAGAACCUGGGAGACCUUUACUACUCUAUCUGUCUGUAUUAGAUAAAGCUUUCGGCUGUGUUUUGGGACAACAUGACGAGACGGGAAUAAAGGAGCAAGCCAUAUAUUAUUUGAGUAAGAAGUUUACGCCUUAUGAAGCACGGUACUCUCUACUAGAAUGCACUUGCUGUGAUUUGACAUGGACAACUCAAAAAUUGAGGCAUUACUUCUGUGCCUAUACCACCUACCUCAUAUCAAGAAUGGAUCCUCUAAAGUACAUCUUUCAGAAGCCUAUGCCAAUCGGGAAGUUAGCCAAGUGGCAGAUAUUGUUAAGUGAGUUCGAUAUCAUCUAUGUAACUCAGAAGGCAGUCAAAGGACAAACAUUGUCAGCCCAUCUUGUUGAAAAUCCUAUGGGAGGAGAAUACGAACCACUAAAAACAUAUUUUCCUGACGAAGAAGUGUCAUUCCUAGGAGAGGGCAUUGCUGAAGGCUAUGACGAUUGGAAAAUGUUCUUUAAUGGAGCUGCCAAUUUCAACGGAGGUGGUAUUAGAGUGGUUUUGGUAUCAAAGACAGGUCAACAUUAUCCGGUAUUCACGAAGCUUAGGUUUCCAUGCACCAAUAAUAUGGCAGAAUAUGAGGCUUUAAUCAUGGGGCUCAAUUUGGCCGUCGAUAUAUACAAAAAUUGCUGGUAAUUAGAGAUUCAGAUCUUCUGGUACAUCAGCUUCAAGGAGAAUGGGCUACGAAAAACACCAAGAUACUACCAUACUUGUAUCAUGUGCAAGAAUUGAUGAAGAGGUUCACAAAGAUAGAAUUCAAACAUGUUCCAAGAAUCUAGAACGAGUUCGCAGACGUGCUGGCCACCUUAUCAUUAAUGAUACAACAUCCAGACAAGAAUUUCAUCGAUCCCAUCCCGGUGAAAAUUCGUAAUCAGCCGGCUUAUUGUGCUCAUGUUGAAGAUGAAACGGACAGAAAACCUUGGUUCCACGACAUCAAGGAAUAUUUGGCAAAAGGAGAAUACCCAUAACAAGCAAACCAUACUCCGAAAUGCACACUGCAGAGGCUGUCCAAUCACUUCUUCCAAAGCGAAGGAACCCUGUAUAGAAGAACUCCUGAUCUGGGACUGUUAAGGUGUGUUGAUGCAAAAGAGGCUUCCAGAUUGCUUGAGGAGAUAUGAUAAUUGGCUAGAUUUAUGUAAUAUGGCGAUUGUUUAUGCCCCAGCUUGAUUAUGUUUCACUGUGAUAAUAUAGCUAAAUGAUGAUAAAUUAGCUAUAAUUGUGAAUUUCACACGUUGCAGGAGUGAGUAGCAUGUAUGAGGACUUAAAGUUGUGAUUGGAGCUAAAUUGAAGCAAGAAAAGCCCCUAGGAGCUGAGUACGUGGGAAAACGAGAAAAAGAAGAGACAAAAUGAAGACCUGGACUAGCGCGUCCACUAGCGCGACCGUGGUAGCCCAGAUAGUCGAGGCAGAAUGAUAGGGCAUAUGCGCGGUCACUAGCGCGUCCAUUAGCGCGACCGCGCUAGCCCAUUUCCGGAAAAGUAAAUUUCAGGGGUAAACUUGGAAGUUCUGGGGUAAAUCUACUUAACCUAUAGAAGGUCCAACUCGCCCAAGGAUUCAUUAUCAAGGUUUUCAUAGCUUAGUUCAAGGUAAGGAGAGGCAAGGAGGAUAAUUCAACAUCGAGUUCUUCCUUUUGUUUUUACGAUUUGUGAUGAAUUUGAAUAUUGUUAUGAGGAACACUAGUAUGAGUAGCUAAAUAUUUUAGUCUAAGGUUUUGAUGGAACCUAUUGAAAGAUGAACAUCUUGUUAUGUUAAUAUAGUUUGCCUAGUUUAAUCUCUAUUUGUUCAACUAUGUGCUUGUUGUAGUUAAUUGAUAUGAUCCUCAAUUAGCUAUGCCUAUUUAGUGUGCAUGACUCGGGAGAGAGUGCAUAUUUAGGUAAUUGUUGAACAACACCACUCCCAAAGUAUAUAAGGGAUCGAUAACUGAGGGUUUAAAGGCGAGAUUAGGGAUAACGUAGCCUUGGGGUACAAUCUAAAGUGAGCUGCAAUAAACAAAACCAGCUAGCGUAUCUCGGGAGAGUGCGUCUAGUAAAUUAUUAUGAUUACUCGGGAGAGAUUUACGGUAAUAAAAGUGCUCAUGAUUGAUAUAGAUGAUUAGGCAAUUCUAUGUGAAACAUAACUGGAAGGGAUUGCAUCAAUAGGGGAAAUUAUAACAUUAGAACCUUCUCUUACUUGGUUACAACUUAAUCAUAAUUAGUUUUCAGUUGCUUAUUUACAUUCAUUCUUAGUUAGUAGAAACAUCUUCAAUUGUUAUUCACAACGUUUGAGAAGUUGAUUCCGUGGAAUUUAGUAAGUCUAACGAGAGUAAUUGAUAGGUUAAUUCCUCGUGGGUUCGACUCUGGGCUAAAUGCUCAUAUUAUAUUUGCAACAUUCGCGUGUCCUUUUUAUAAGGCAUAGUUGGACGCAAUCAAAUUUUGGCAUCGUUGCCAUGGACUUAACGGUGUUAUCAAUUACAAUUGAAAGAAAUACAAAAACUCUUAGUGUAGUUAGUUUUCUCUAACCUAAUCUAUACAUUGAAAUUUUAACGUUUGUUGACUUGGUUGUACAGGUGCAUGCCUAGAAACUCAUCGAGAACUGGUGAAGUAUUUGAAGCAUUAUCAGAUCCCGAAAGAGUUUUCAAGGCCUUGAAUCGGGCUAACUGAAAAAACAAACAACUGAACAAUUCGAACCAGACAUGGGAGAUCACGAAGAAGACCCAGCUGUACCAUAGCGCCAGUGGCACCUCUUGUGCCAGAGGCUGCUCUCUAUAAUUGGGUACAACCCACAUAUGAAAAUCUAACCACAACGAUUUUAGUCCCACAAAUACAGACUAAAUCAUUCCAAAUCACGAACAAAAUGCUGCACUUGUUGCAAAACAAAUGACUAUUUUCGGGGUCACAAGUCGAAGAUCCUCAACAGCACUUGAAAAAUUUCCUGUCAAUCUACAAAACCCAAAGGCAGCCCAACGUAACUCAGGAAGCAAUCAAGCUGUUAUUGUUUCCAUUUUUAGUGAUAGGAGCUGCUCAGACCUGGCUAAACUCACUCCCCAUCAAUUCCAUAACAACUUGGGAGGAGUUAGUCAAGAAAUUCGUGAACAAGUUCCACCCACCCAACAAGAUUGCUCAACAAAUUGAUGAAAUUUUGAGUUUCAAACAGAGACUAAUGGAGACACUGCAUGAAAUAUGGGAACGAUUUAAAGGGAUGCUGGUUAUAUGUCCGCACCACGGUAUUCCAGAUCUGAUGUUGGGGCAACGAUUUUACAUGGGAUUGUCAGAUAUCAUGAAGGGUAAUGUUGAUGCUUCAGCUGGUGGAGCAUUUUUGAGCAAAACAUGGAGAGAAGGCCAGAGUCUGCUUGACAAGAUGGCAUAGAAUUCGGGGUAGACAACCAGGAAUGCACCUAUCACUCUAGUGGUUCACUUAGUGCCCUUAGAUCCGUCCAAUACUCUUGCUGAAAACAUGUCCACUUAAUGACAUAGAUGAGUAUACUCGCCAAAAAGGUGGAAGAGUCAAGGCGGAAGCAGCAGGUACACAUUGUAGAUACUACCAAUGGGGGCUUGUGCACAUCUUGCAUUAGUCAGCCAAUUGGUAACCAGUGGAAUACAGAACAUGAUCAUCAUCACUACCCUGAAGAGAUGAACUAUGUGUCUAAUUAUGGAGGCCAAAGACAGGGUGGUCAGAAUUGGGGCCAGCAAAAUCAGCCGUACAUGCUAGUCCAGCCACAGUUCAACAAUGGAAAAAUGGGAGGUAUGAGUCCUCCUAAUAAUAUGGCACCUUAUCCAAGGCCAUAAUGAUAUAAUAAUCAAAAUCAGCAGCAUGAAUAUCAUCCUCCUCAGCAGUAGCAUGGUGGACGACAUGAAGAUAGGUUUGCUAGACUUGAGACAAUGAUGCAAUAUGUUAUAGGAUCUAAUGCAAAAAUCAGUUAAAGAGUAGAUGCACAUGAUUCAGCUAUCAAGAAUAUUUAAGUGCAGAUAGGCCAGAUUUCGAUGUCUCUAAACAAUCGUCCUCAUAGGACAUUACCUGCAGACACCCAAAUAAAUCCAAAAGAUCAAGGGCCGAAGCAGCUGAUGGCAAUUAGUCUACGUAAUGGCAGAGAUUUGGUUGUGGAGCAAGAGAGGGCUCGAGAAAGAAGACAGGCUGAGACACUCAUACCAGUGCCCAUUGAGCUAGAUGAGUCAACAAAACUAACAGAGGUGACAGUCUAGCCUCCCCAGGAAGAACAUAACAUUCAGAUUGAGACCGAGAAAGAAGCUGGGACAGCCAGGAACAAGUAGUUGAGGUGAUAGCUGAUAAAGAGCAAUCCCAAAUCAUUGGGAAGAAGAGACCUCCCGCACCAUUCCCUUAGAGGCUGGCCAAGUACCAAAAAGAGGAGCAAUACAAGAAAUUCUUGGAGAUGCUGAAACAAAUCCAGGUAAAUAUUCCAUUGAUAUAUGCUUUGAAAGAGAUGGCUGGUUAUGCAAAAAUGAUGAAGGACUUAAUGUCCCGAAAAUUCGAUUUCCAAGACUUGGCCACUGUGACUCUUACUCAGACCUGCAGUGCAGUGGUGACUAGACCAAUUGCUGAGAAGCUAUCUGACCCAGGGAGCUUUACAAUUCCCUGCACUAUUGGUAACUUCGCUUUCGCUAAAACACUUUGUGAUUUAGGGGCUAGCAUAAAUCUUAUGCCCCUAGCGAUCUAUAAGAGGUUGGGGAUUGGAAGAGCUAGACCCACUUCUAUGUUGUUGCAGCUGGCUGACAAGACCGUAAAAAGACUCUCUGGUAUCCUGGAUGAUGUGUUGGUUCAGGUAGGGAAAUUUGUGUUCCCUGCAGAUUUUGUGAUCUUAGACUACAAGGUGGAUGGAGAAAUUCCCAUAAUUAUAGGAAGGCCAUUCUUGGCCACUAGGAGAGCUCUUAUUGAUUGUGAGACUAGGGAGCUCAAGAUGAGAUUGAACAAUGUAGAGAUAACAUUCAAUGUACAAAAAUCUAUGAGGCGACCAAGUGAAUUCGCCAAUUGCUCUCUUAUUGAUGCAAUGGAUGUAAUCUUGAACAAUUGCUCUCUUAUACAAUGUAGAGAUAACAUUCACGGGCAGAUGGGUGUUGGCGUUAGAGGGCGGAGGGUUAUGGGAUAGAACUCUUGAAUUUGAGCCCUUACACUUAGAAAAUAGAGAAACUCCUCCAGCCUAGCCAUCCAGUGAAGAACCACCAAAGCUGGAAUUGAAGCCACUGCUCGCCCAUCUCAGGUAUGAGUUCCUUGGACCUGACUCCACAUUACCAGUUAUUAUCUUAUCCAGUUUGUUAGAUGUGCAGGCACAACAACUCUUGCAGGUACCUAAGGAGUGUAAGACUACCAUUGGGUGGACCAUGACAGACAUUAAGGGGAUUAGCCCCGCCUACUGUAUGCAUAAAAUUUUACUGGAAGAGGGACACAAACCUUUCAGGGAACAUCAAAGAAGGCUGAACCCCAACAUGAAAGAAGUGGUGAAGAAAGAAGUGAUAAAGUGGUUAGAUACGCGAAUCAUUUUUCCAAUCUCUGACAGCAGUUGGGUCAGCCCGGUGCAAUGUGUGCCUAAGAAGGGUGGCAUGACGGUGAUAAAAAACAAUAACAAUGAACUGAUCUUAACACGAACCGUUACGGGCUGGAGAAUUUGUAUAGACUACAAAAUGCUAAAUCUAGCCACCCGGAAGGACCACUUCCCAUUUCCUUCAUUGAUCAGAUGCUAGACAGAUUGGCAGGGAGGUCACACUUCUGUUUUCUGGAUGGGUACUCAGGGUACAAUCAAAUCUCCAUUGCACCAGACGACAGAGAGAAGACCUCCUUCACUUGCCCAUAUGGGAUUUAUGUUUUCGGAGGAUGCCCUUUGGCCUAUGCAAUGCACCCACCACAUUUCAAAGGUGCAUGAUGGCCAUAUUCACUGACAUAGUAGAAGACAUAAUGGAGGUAUUCAUGGAUGAUUUCUCAGUGGUGGGAAACUCAUUCGAGGAGUGCCUUAGAAACCUCACUCGUAUGCUGAAACGGUGUAUUGAGACUAACCUGGUUCUUAAUUGGGAGAAGUGCUUUUUCAUGGUACAAGAGAGAAUAGUAUUGGGAAACUGAGUAUCAAGUAAAGGAAUUGAGGUGGAUCGUGCUAAAGUGGAUGUGAUAGCAAAGCUGCCUCCUCCAUCUUCAGUCAAGGCAAUCAGGAGCUUCCUCGGGCAUGCCGGUUUCUACCGGAGAUUCAUAAAAGACUUCUCAAAAAACCGCACACCCUCUCUAUAAGUUGUUAGAAAAAGAUCACCCUUUCUUGUUCUAUGAUGAUUGCAGGGUAGCAUUCGAAGAGUUGAAAAAGAGGCUAGUCACAACACCCAUCAUUGUUGCCCGGACUAGGAGCAACCUUUAGAACUCUUGUGUGACGCUAGUGACUACGCAGUGGGGGCAGUGCUGGGACAACGGAAAGACAAGCUAAUGCAUCCAAUCUACUAUGUCAGUAGAACGCUGAGUGGAGCCCAGCUGAACUACACUGUGACUGAAAAGGAGAUGUUAGCUGUGGUGUUUGCUUUUGACAAGUUCAGAUCAUACCUGAUUGUCUCUAAGGUAAUUGUAUACACUGAUCAUGCAGCUCUCAGGUACUUGAUUAAGAAGAAGGAGUCUAAGCCGCGCCUGAUUCGUAGGGUGCUACUACUAUAAGAAUUCGACCUCGAAAUUCGUGACCAUAAUGGCACAAAAAAACCAAGUCGCUGACCAUCUAUCACGACUUGAGGGAGUUGAAAACUCAGUUGAGGUUAAGGAUAUUCUAGAAACCUUUCCAGAUGAGCAACUGCUCGCUACUAGUCUUGAGGAAGUGCCAUGGUAUGCAGACUUUGCAAAUUACCUGGCCAGCGGUAUAGUUCCCUAUGACCUUUCGUCUAUACAAAAGAAAAUUUUUUAUCGUGACUACCGCAUGUAUUAUUGGGAUGAACCUUACCUGUUUCAAAUAUGUGUUGACAAUAUGAUCCGGAGGUGCAUCCCCGAGAUAGAACAAUCUUUUGUUUUGCAGGCAUGUCAUGCAUUGGCGUAUGAAGGGCAUUUUGGAGGAGUCAGUACAACGGCGAAAGUGCUAGAGGCCGGUUUCUUUUGGCCAACAGUGUUCAAAGAUGCGCACCAAUGGGUGAAGGGCUGCAAUGAAUGUCAGCAAACCGGGAACAUUUCACGUCGCCAUAAGAUACCCAUGAACCCGAUUCAAGAGGUGGAAGUGUUUGAUGUUUGGUGGAUUGACUUCAUGGGACCCUUCAUCAGCUCCUUUGGCAAUAAAACAUACUUGUUGCUAUAGAUUAUAUGUCCAAAUGGGUAGAAGCUGUAGCAUUUUCCACUAAUGAUGCAAUAGUAGUGGGGUUUUGAAGAAGAACAUAUUCACCCGUUUUGGGACACCGAGAGCUAUUAUCAGUGACAGAGGCACCCACUUCUGUAAUCAAGCCUUUGAGAAGUUUCUAUCAAAGUAUGAUGUGCGUCACAAGGUGGCAACACCGUAUCAUCCACAGACAAGUGGACAGGUGGAAGUGUCUAAUAGAGAGAUAAAGAGUGUAUUGACCAAGACAAUGAACGCCACAAGAACUGAUUGGGCAAAAAGCUAGAUGAUGCACUCUGGGCUUAUAUAACUGCUUUUAAAACACCAAUUGGUAUGUCACCAUAUAAGUUGGUGUUCGGGAAGGCCUGCCACUUGCCAGUGGAACUUGAACAUAAAGCUUGGUGGGCACUGAAACAGCUGAACCUAGACAUUGAGGCUGCGGGCACAACUAGAAUCACUGAAUUGCAUGAGCUUGACGAGUUCCGACAUCUUGCUUUUGAGAGCACAAGGUUGUACAAGGAAAGAAUGAAGAGGCUACAUGACGAGAACAUUGUUGAGCGACAUUUCAAACCCGGGGACAUGGUACUGCUCUAUAAUUCGAGAUUAAGGUUAUUCCCGGGUAAGCUUAAGUCACGAUGGUCUGGGCCAUUUCGAGUGGUUGAAGUAUUCCCUUCAGGGGCUGUAGAGAUUGCCUAAGAGAAAGACUCUCACACAUUUAGAGUCAAUGGGCAGAGAUUGAAGCUAUACAUAGGCAUGAAAGAACCAAAGGAAGUGUUAGAGAUCCACCUGACGGAACUUCAAAGGUCGAGCGAGCCUUAAAUGCGCUUGUCUGCAUCGUGCCGCGAUGUUAAAUCAGGCGCUGUAUGGGAGGCAACCCAUUGAAUUGUUGUAAUCGUUGUGCCACGACAUUAACUAAGGCGCUGGUUGGUAGGCAACCCAAUGAUAGUAGUUGUUGUUAAUUAUGAGUUUUUAGGACGUGCUAACCAAUACAAGUGACAAUGGGUGGGUGAUAAGGCCAUCAAAAAUGGUAAGAACAAGUGAAAAAAAACAUGAAAAAAAUAUCGCCCAGGAGCGCGCCUGCGCUACAGGCCGCGCUAGUGGCUACGCAUAUGGGCAAAUAUUCUGCCUGGGCUCAAAAAUAUUAGCGCGCCCGCGCUAGUGGCUGCAUUACUAGAGCGAUCGCGCUAGUGACCGCGCAUAUUGCAUUGUAUUCUGCCUGGGUUAGGGCGGUCGCGCUCGUAUCGUGCUACGACCGCGCUAGUCCCGCCCACAUCUGUGCGUUUUGUGUUGUUUUUUUAUUUUUUUUUUCAUGUUAAUUUUUUUAAUAUCGCCUAAACUACCCCUUUCUAAUAACCCCCCCCAUCUUUAAUCCCAAUUCCCACCCAUUCCACCACAUUAAACGAAAAUUCCCCAACCCUAACCCCUUCUUCUUCACACGCUCCCUUCCUCUUCAACUUAAUUCCAUCUUGUUCAACUUUCCCUAAGUCUCAAGCACACUCCCCUCUCUUCAUCUUUGCUUCUCCUAACAAUCUCCCACUACAGGUAUGACUCCUAGGUACCAUUGUUUCGUUUUUUUCUUCUUUUCUUUUCUAAUUUUCGUUUUUGUUUUUUAUUUUUGUAUCUAUGUAGUUGUUGUUCGUGCCUCUAUUUAGUCAAAAUCUGAAGCAUAAGUUGUAGUGUUUGUAGGUGGUAGGAUUGGUGGGGUGUUGCUUCACGUGGUUUGUGAUUUUGGAGGAUAUUGUGGUGGGUUGAGGUUGUAACAUGUGUGAAAUGGGGUAUGAGGGUAGAAUGCCCACAAGGUGUUUGUGUAAAUGCCUAUGUGAAUGUAAUUGUGUAGUUGUGACCACUUAUGCGUGUGAAGUCUGAGUAACCACAGUGCGUCAUAACUUUAUGUUGGGCUGUGCUAAUGUGCUCUCGUUUUCAGGUACUAUGGCUCCAUCUCGAAAAUGCCACGUCACAGGUGCCUCUUCUAGUAGCCAAGCCGGCUCGUCCAGGGUAUGCGGUGCAGUUCUGCCCGCCCCUUUGAUAGUAAUAGAUUUGUCUCUGUCAAGGCUCAAGACUGCUUUGCGGAUAAGGACUCCAAAAAGCCGAUUCCGGAGAGGGGAAUUGACAUAGGAUCGGUCCAGCUACACUGCCGUCACAUGUACACUGAGCUGGUGAGGUGGGGGUUGCAAGCUUUCAUUAACGAGCCGGGUGAGGCCAAUGUCAUGGUUGUUAGGGAAUUCUACGCCAAUGUGAAGGAGCAUUACAAUGGCGUGGUCACAGUGCACCGAAAGGUGAUGAAUGCCUCUGUUGAGGCUAUACGGACGACGUAUUAGCUUCCCCUCAUGUGGAUCAUUAUGAUGACUAUUAUGAGGGGUAUUGCCGAACAAACACACAGUGGGAACGGUUCUUUGAAAUGAUCUGUGUGCUCGGGAAAGAGGUGAUCUGGAUGAAGUAUGGUGAGAAAUUUCACUCCUCCGCACUAACCUUUGAAGGGAAGUGCUGGUUGUAUAUUAUCAACAAUCGUCUAAUCCCGUCCCUCAACACUACGGAAGUGAAUGGCCCCCGAGAGGCCUUGAUUUGGUGCUUCAUAAAUGGUCAUAACUUCGACGUGGCCAAAGUGAUUCAUGAAGAGAUGUUCAUCCGCUAUCCAGUCAAAAGAUAUGGAUUUUUUUCCCCUUCUUUGGUCACUAAACUUUGAAGGCAAGCUCGGGUGCCGGAAAAUCUGGCGGUGGAUGGGCUGGUGCCAAAAGACCGCAAGUUUCGGGCGGACAUGGUAACUACGGGUAAGGAGCCGGCAGCCGCAAGUGGGGAGGAUAGUAGUGGCUAUGAUGACUCGGAGGAAGAGGAGGUCGAGUAGGAGGACGUGGGGGGCGAACCACAAGCCCAUGAGCAAAGUGCAUCACCUGCAGCACCAUCUGGGACUACAACAUCUUCUGGAGCUUCCCGGGUGUCCCGUUUCACCGCUUUGGAGCAAAAGGUGGCUGGGUUGCAUACCUCAGUCACUGAUUUGGGUGCCCGCAUUGACGCGGUGGCUGACCGGCAGGUGAAGUCGGAAAAGAAAUUCUUAGUCUGGCUGAGAGCUCUGGGUCGUGCUUGUAAUGUGAACCCAGACACCGUCUCCGAUCAGGAGUGAUCUUUCAGGGAAGUUCCUUUACCUUAUAUGUCUACCUUAUAAGUGUGCAGUGGGGGAUACUUCAAUGUAUAUAUGUAUAUGUAGCAAGUUGACUGGUUGAUGUUUCUUUGUUUCUCUUUGGUUGUUUUGGUGUUUUGAGUAAUAGUUUCAUUAGGUAAUUUUAAAGUAGGUAAGUGACUUGUCCCGACGACGGAUAUCUUUCGGCGGGGUUCUUGAGGGACUAAGUCUAGAAAAAAAAUAAACAAAAAAAAGGGAAUAUGGAGAAUCUUCCUGAUGACGGAUCCUUUAGACAAAUUUCUUGAGGGAAGUAAGUCUAGAGAAAAUACCAAAAAUAUUUUUUUAAGUAGUGUAAUAACUCCCCCUUGAUUUUUCUUUGGGCCACGGUUCUUUUCCAAGGGUUUAGCUUGAACCAGUGUAGGUAUUUUUUGUUUAAACAGAUCUUUUUGUUUUUUUAGGAUUGAUGGGCUACAAGCUGAAUUCGAAAGAGAAACCCCUAGCGUUGAUACACCUGAACACAAUAGACACUAGAGUGUAACGCUUGAUCUCAGUGGUUGAUUCUUGUUAAAGUGUCUUAAAUUGUAUGUUUGUCACUGACUUGAAUACUUAGAAGAGAAUUUCUUGAUAAGCCAAUCUUGAGUGAGUCAUAUGCCAUGUAUGUAUGAGUUAUACUGUAUUCCAUGAUUCACAUUUGAUGCCUAGAACUUGCCCCGUGUGUUUGCAAAGUGAAAUAGUAGUUUCAUUCAGUCUUAGAAGUGAUAUAUGCAUUUCUUUGUUGAACCAGACAUAUAAAGUAAACCCACCUAAUUGUAACGCAUCGUAGUCAACCCCGUUGAGCCUAUAAGCCUGUUUCUUUGGCAACCAUAUUGCGAACCUUACCCAAAUGUUUGAAUGGAUUUCUGUUUGAAAGCCUUUACCUCCCAUAAGCACUUGAAUGGUAUUGAAGUUAUGCAAAAGCAAAAGUGUGAGGUGGUGGUUUGGUUUUUGAGUGGAACCAUUGAAAUAGAGAAAAGGUGCAGUGUUUGAAAAAGUAAAAGAAUAAGCACCACGAAAAAAAAAGAAAAAAA